rnacentral:rRNA from 1 species
GACGAACGCUGGCGGCGUGCUUAACACAUGCAAGUCGAACGGAAAGGCCUCUUUCGGGGGGUACUCGAGUGGCGAACGGGUGAGUAACACGUGAGUAACCUGCCCUUGACUUUGGGAUAACUUCAGGAAACUGGGGCUAAUACCGGAUAGGAGCUCCUGCUGCAUGGUGGGGGUUGGAAAGUUUCGGCGGUUGGGGAUGGACUCGCGGCUUAUCAGCUUGUUGGUGGGGUAGUGGCUUACCAAGGCUUUGACGGGUAGCCGGCCUGAGAGGGCGACCGGCCACAUUGGGACUGAGAUACGGCCCAGACUCCUACGGGAGGCAGCAGUGGGGAAUAUUGCACAAUGGGUGGAAGCCUGAUGCAGCAACGCCGUGUGCGGGAUGACGGCCUUCGGGUUGUAAACCGCUUUCGCUCAUGACGAAGCUUUGUGUGACGGUAGUGGGUAAAGAAGCGCCGGCUAACUACGUG